AGGCGGAGGGGGCUAGCGUUGUUCGGAAUUACUGGGCGUAAAGCGCGCGUAGGCGGUCCGUUUAGUUAGGCGUGAAAGGCCUGGGCUCAACCCGGGAACUGCGUUUAAAACUGGCGGGCUAGAGUCCGGGAGAGGGUGGCGGAAUUCCCAGUGUAGAGGUGAAAUUCGUAGAUAUUGGGAAGAACACCAGUGGCGAAGGCGGCCACCUGGCCCGGUACUGACGCUGAGGCGCGAAAGCGUGGGGAGCAAACAGGAUUAGAUACCCCGGUAGUCC
rnacentral:rRNA from 1 species